UCUCUGAUGUUAGCGGCGGACGGGUGAGUAACACGUGGGUAACCUACCUAUAAGACUGGGAUAACUCCGGGAAACCGGGGCUAAUACCGGAUAAUAUUUUGAACCGCAUGGUUCAAUAGUGAAAGACGGUUUCGGCUGUCACUUAUAGAUGGACCCGCGCCGUAUUAGCUAGUUGGUAAGGUAACGGCUUACCAAGGCGACGAUACGUAGCCGACCUGAGAGGGUGAUCGGCCACACUGGAACUGAGACACGGUCCAGACUCCUACGGGAGGCAGCAGUAGGGAAUCUUCCGCAAUGGGCGAAAGCCUGACGGAGCAACGCCGCGUGAGUGAUGAAGGUCUUCGGAUCGUAAAACUCUGUUGUUAGGGAAGAACAAAUUUGUUAGUAACUGAACAAGUCUUGACGGUACCUAACCAGAAAGCCACGGCUAACUACGUGCCAGCAGCCGCGGUAAUACGUAGGUGGCAAGCGUUAUCCGGAAUUAUUGGGCGUAAAGCGCGCGUAGGCGGUUUCUUAAGUCUGAUGUGAAAGCCCACGGCUCAACCGUGGAGGGUCAUUGGAAACUGGGAAACUUGAGUGCAGAAGAGGAGAGUGGAAUUCCAUGUGUAGCGGUGAAAUGCGCAGAGAUAUGGAGGAACACCAGUGGCGAAGGCGGCUCUCUGGUCUGUAACUGACGCUGAUGUGCGAAAGCGUGGGGAUCAAACAGGAUUAGAUACCCUGGUAGUCCACGCCGUAAACGAUGAGUGCUAAGUGUUAGGGGGUUUCCGCCCCUUAGUGCUGCAGCUAACGCAUUAAGCACUCCGCCUGGGGAGUACGACCGCAAGGUUGAAACUCAAAGGAAUUGACGGGGACCCGCACAAGCGGUGGAGCAUGUGGUUUAAUUCGAAGCAACGCGAAGAACCUUACCAAAUCUUGACAUCCUUUGACCGCUCUAGAGAUAGAGUCUUCCCCUUCGGGGGACAAAGUGACAGGUGGUGCAUGGUUGUCGUCAGCUCGUGUCGUGAGAUGUUGGGUUAAGUCCCGCAACGAGCGCAACCCUUAAGCUUAGUUGCCAUCAUUAAGUUGGGCACUCUAGGUUGACUGCCGGUGACAAACCGGAGGAAGGUGGGGAUGACGUCAAAUCAUCAUGCCCCUUAUGAUUUGGGCUACACACGUGCUACAAUGGAUAAUACAAAGGGCAGCGAAUCCGCGAGGCCAAGCAAAUCCCAUAAAAUUAUUCUCAGUUCGGAUUGUAGUCUGCAACUCGACUACAUGAAGCUGGAAUCGCUAGUAAUCGUAGAUCAGCAUGCUACGGUGAAUACGUUCCCGGGUCUUGUACACACCGCCCGUCACACCACGAGAGUUUGUAACACCCGAAGCCGGUGGAGUAACCUUUUAGGAGCUAGCCGUCGAAGG
rnacentral:rRNA from 2 species